CUACGGGCGGCUCCAGUGGGGAAUAUUGCACAAUGGAGGAAACUCUGAUGCAGCAACGCCGCGUGGAGGAUGACACUUUUCGGAGCGUAAACUCCUUUUAUAUAGGAAGAAGAUGACGGUACUAUAUGAAUAAGCGCCGGCUAACUCCGUGCCAGCAGCCGCGGGUAAUACGGAGGGCGCAAGCGUUACUCGGAAUCACUGGGCGUAAAGAGCGUGUAGGCGGAUUAAAAAGUCAGAAGUGAAAUCCUAUAGCUUAACUAUAGAACUGCUUCUGAAACUCUUAAUCUAGAAUAUGGGAGAGGUAGAUGGAAUUUCUGGUGUAGGGGUAAAAUCCAUAGAGAUCAGAAGGAAUACCGAUUGCGAAGGCGAUCUACUAGAACAUUAUUGACGCUGAGACGCGAAAGCGUGGGGAGCAAACAGGAUUAGAUACCCGUGUAGUC
rnacentral:rRNA from 1 species